rnacentral:rRNA from 1 species
GAUGAACGCUGGCGGCGUGCUUAACACAUGCAAGUCGAACGGUGAAGCUCCAGCUUGCUGGAGUGGAUCAGUGGCGAACGGGUGAGUAACACGUGAGCAACCUGCCCCUGACUCUGGAAUAAGCGCUGGAAACGGCGUCUAAUACUGGAUACGAGAAGGGCCCGCAUGGGCACUUUCUGGAAAGUUUUUCGGUUGGGGAUGGGCUCGCGGCCUAUCAGCUUGUUGGUGAGGUAAUGGCUCACCAAGGCGACGACGGGUAGCCGGCCUGAGAGGGCGACCGGCCACACUGGGACUGAGACACGGCCCAGACUCCUACGGGAGGCAGCAGUGGGGAAUAUUGCACAAUGGGCGAAAGCCUGAUGCAGCGACGCCGCGUGAGGGAUGACGGCCUUCGGGUUGUAAACCUCUUUCAGCAGGGAAGAAGCGAAAGUGACGGUACCGGCAGAAGAAGCACCGGCUAACUACGU